AGUGGCGGACGGGUGAGUAACGCGUGGGUAACCUGCCUCAUACAGGGGGAUAACAGUUAGAAAUGACUGCUAACACCGCAUAAUAUAGCGAAACCGCAUGAUUUUGCUAUCAAAUAUUUAUAGGUAUGAGAUGGGCCCGCGUCUGAUUAGCUAGUUGGUGGGGUAAAAGCCUACCAAGGCGACGAUCAGUAGCCGGCUUGAGAGAGUGACCGGCCACAUUGGGACUGAGACACGGCCCAAACUCCUACGGGAGGCAGCAGUGGGGAAUAUUGGACAAUGGGGGAAACCCUGAUCCAGCCGACGCCGCGUGAGUGAAGAAGUAUUUCGGUAUGUAAAGCUCUAUCAGCAGGGAAGAUAAUGACAGUACCUGACUAAGAAGCCCCGGCUAACUACGUGCCAGCCGCCGC
rnacentral:rRNA from 1 species